rnacentral:misc_RNA from 1 species
GAUGAAGAACGUAGUGAAAUGCGAUAAGUAGUGUGAAUUGCAGAAUUCAGUGAAUCAUCGAAUCUUUGAACGCACAUUGCGCCCCUUGGUAUCCCGAGGGGCAUGCCUGUUCGAGCGUCAUUUCACCACUCAAGCCUGGCUUGGUGUUGGGCGACGUCCCCUUUGGGGACGCGCCUCUAAACGCUCGGCGGCGUGGCACCGGCUUUAAGCGUAGCAGAAUCUUUCGCUUUGGAAGUCGGGGCCCCGUCUGCCGGAAGACCUACUCGCAAGGUUGACCUCGGAUCAGGCAGGGAUACCCGCUGAACUUAAGCAUAUCAAUAAGCGGAGGA